rnacentral:miRNA from 1 species
UGGACAGAGUAAUCACGGUCG